GAUGAACGCUAGCUACAGGCUUAACACAUGCAAGUCGAGGGGCAGCACUAGGUAGCAAUACUGAGGUGGCGACCGGCGCACGGGUGCGUAACGCGUAUCCAACCUUCCCGUUACUCUUGGAUAGCCUUCCGAAAGGGAGAUUAAUACAAGAUGGUGUUUCAAUUCCGCAUGUUAUUGAAACUAAAGAUUUAUCGGUAUCGGAUGGGGAUGCGUGACAUUAGAUAGUAGGCGGGGUAACGGCCCACCUAGUCUACGAUGUCUAGGGGUUCUGAGAGGAAGGUCCCCCACACUGGAACUGAGACACGGUCCAGACUCCUACGGGAGGCAGCAGUGAGGAAUAUUGGUCAAUGGUCGGAAGACUGAACCAGCCAAGUAGCGUGAAGGAUGAAGGUUCUAUGGAUUGUAAACUUCUUUUAUACGGGAAUAAAACACCUUACGUGUAGGGUCUUGUAUGUACCGUAUGAAUAAGCAUCGGCUAACUCCGUGCCAGCCGCCGCGGUAAGAC
rnacentral:rRNA from 1 species